rnacentral:lncRNA from 1 species
AAUCUGAGUCUUCAGGUCUAAAUCCCAAGUCUGAGUCCAAGUUAUUGCCUCCCUUGGGCAAAUGACUCGAGGCUUGGACCCAAAGACUCGGACUGUUGAAGUCUCAGGGAACUUGGAUGUUUAUCUGAGUCUUCAGAUGGGGAGCCAAAUCUCAAAGUGUUCAGAAUGUUUGAUUUCUGCAGGUGAAGCAGAUUUAAAGCCAAAGGACUCAACGCUACCUAUACUCAUCUGGUCCUUCUUUUGGAAGAAAGAUGGGAUGUUGAAUCAACCAACCAACCAACCAACCAACCAACCAACCAACCAACCAACCAACCAACCAACCAACCAACCAACCAACCAACCAAUACACUGCUGUAACAUUAGCAUACCAAAACAAACAGAAACCAGGAGAGAUAAUGCAGAGAGAGUGAAUUUAUGCCUGCCUCGGCCGACGCGGCAGAGAACUGUGCCUCUGAUGAAGUGAUUCCGGGGACAAACUAAGGUUUAUUGUUAUCAUGAUCGCGUCAUGAUUUCUGGCUAGAGGAACAAAAAGCAGAGGAGGAGAUCAGGGGAAAGAACCCCGGUUUCCCAUUCAGUUCCCCCACUCCCCUUAAGCUCCAAUAUCAAUGAAUCUUUAAACAGGAAGAACCAUUUCACAGAAUCGAGGGUGCCGGUGAAGACAUUUAACUCCAAGAACUUGUGACAGCCUGUGAAAUGAAGGAGUGAAAUGUUUUUCCUCCCGUGAAGAUGGAGAGAAUGCUAAACCAUCCAGAAAAAAAGGGGGGAAAUUGGCCUCUUGGAGCAAAUAUUUCAGAAAAGUCUCUGGGGGUGGGUGUAUGGAGGUGGGGAUAAAGGCCAAGCUGAACAAGAAAAGCCAUCAAAGAGCAGAACCAGGUGAAGGGAUGUGUUCCCCAUCUUAGCUAGGGGGCGAGGGGGAUGCUUGUGUGACAGACAGCUCAUACUCCUGUCCGUCAGUUUAGAGCUCUGGUGUGGGAGCCUAUGACAGGACAGGAGGGGCGGAACCAACGGAACUAGGAGAGAGAAAUAAAGACAGUUAAGUACAGUUAGGGCA